UACGGAGGGAGCAAGCGUUACUCGGAAUUACUGGGCGUAAAGAGUACGUAGGUGGUUUGCUAAGUCCGAUGUGAAAUCUCCCGGCUUAACUGGGAGGGUGCGUUAGAUACUGGCAGGCUUGAGUGUGGGAGAGGAGAGCGGAAUUCCUGGUGUAGCGGUGAAAUGCGUAGAUAUCAGGAGGAACGCCUGUGGUGUAGACGGCUCUCUGGACCAUUACUGACACUGAGGUACGAAAGCGUGGGUAGCAAACAGG
rnacentral:rRNA from 1 species